GAGUGGUUAGCACAAUUAAGUGCUUGUAAUUUCGGCUUACAAUAGUCCUCUUGAGGGGACCACUUU
rnacentral:tRNA from 1 species